UACUUGGAGAAAUCCUUUGCGAUAUGAAUGACAAUAGCUGAUCGCGAAUAAAAUGUAUGUAGGAAUUGAGGCAUGAGAUGGCUAGAUGACGGAUAGUGAAAAAAAGUCGUAAAAAAGAUGUGCAUGCUGUCUGAGCGGUUUUCGUAUAAUGCGGCAUAAUGUGUCAUAUAGCGCGAUAGAUUUUCCAUUAGGUUUUCGCGUAAUUCGCAACGAUGCAGCAUGAUACAUCUCGAUACAUCUGUUGUGCGCAACCAGUAAUUUAAGAACAGCUAAAUUAUGCAACUCAUGUAUCAGGGUGCAUCGUUGUGAAUUUAACAACGCAACCAUAGAUCGCGAAGCGUGUUCAUGUCGCUACGAUUCGUCGGUGUGACAGGUUUAUUAACCUAACCUGAACAUUUGUUUUUUACUAAACUUUAACGAUUAAUAUCUCGUUUCGCGAGGCAGAAGAACACUUUUUUCUGCCAAAUUCGCUCGAGUCAUGCAAAAAUGCAUUGAAUAAGCAUAGUUUCAUCGUUAUUUGCACUAGUGUAACUAAAUUGAAUAAUUACCAUGGAGAAUAAUUUUAUUAAAAAGUCACAGCAAUGGUGAUAGAUUAUUAUUUCGAUAUCCACAUAUACAUAUUAAUCAUGUAAGGGAUUUGGAUCAAUAUACAAACGAAAAAAUCCUUAUUCGUUGAUCAAUGUGGAAGAUUUAUUACAGAUAGUCUGCAGUUUCCAACGUUAAACGUAAGUAGUGGAAAUUUAACUGAUUAUAUAUAAUUACCACUGAGUAGUGGUAAUUCAACUGAUGAAGUUUUACUCUAUUUACUGUAAGUAAAACCAGAAUUAUGUGAUCAAAAAUUUGAAUUAAAAGUUAACGACGUUCGUUUUGUUGGACAUAUAUCCCCAUACUUGACCAUGAAUUUUAUUAAUUGUAAUCAACAACAAAUUCUUUUUGAGGGGAUUGAAAAUUGUAACAGCAUAUUUAAUUUUUAAUGCAACUAUGUAAUAGUAUAUAUUUAUGCGUAUACAGAGAUUUUCAUUUAAUUCAUUACUUCUUAAAUCUUAUUCAAAGGACUAAUCCUAAGUACUUGAUAGGCUUCUCUAACAUUGCUGCAAAUUUGAUCAAAAUCUAUGAAGAGUAAAGUGCUGUUCUUAAUUUUAAAAUUGAUUGCAUAAAGAUUAAAAGCUGUUUAGGAACUAUCUUCUAAUACUACUAAAGAAUAGCGCAUUUUAGCGGCGAUUUCAUUCUUAAAUAUAAAAUGAGAUAAAGAAUACAGAAACCAUCUCUGUUGAUUUUUUUUAUAUAACAUCAUUUAUUAAGGGAUAAAAUAAAUGACAAAUAACAUAUCUCACUUAUAUGAAACUAUAAUAUUUCUUAGUGUUCAUUAUUUGUUAUGAUAUAAAAGAAAUCACAUCAUAUACGACCCUCUCCCCCAGGCCGCGCAUGCGGCGAUGAUCGCUCGAGUCUUACAUAUCCAAUACAAUACGGAACCGACAAUCUUCCGCUUAUCGCCGGAGAACACACAAAACAACGAAAAUUCCAUGAAUCUCUCAAAAGAGAUCGCGAGCUCGCGAGGCGGACCAUGAUAAGAUUAGGCUACGACCGCGAUGCUUAAUCGAAUCAACAUGACCGAGAUGUUACAGCGAGCUUCGCGAAUAAGGAAUUCCUUCUGACCUAACUCUUUUUUCCGGAAUCUCUUCCUCGUCGAUGACACCGAUGGACUACUAUUACAAAGCGUGUUUUUCAGUCGCUUUUCGAUAGCUCGAGAUCUAAAUCUUAGAGCACAAAAUGAGAAAAAAAUGUUCUUUCGCUUUUUCAACGCUCUAGAUCCAAUUACCAAGGUGUUGAUAUACAUUCGAAUAAAUACCUUCGUGAUAACAUUCUGUUUGAUCAUCUAAAAUGGGGGAAAAGGGUCUAGUCAAAUCACUUGUAAUUAUCACACAAUCAUUCUCGAUACGGUGGCAUGUACUAUUUUAAUAUGCUUUUUGUGACUUUCGGA